rnacentral:rRNA from 1 species
GACGAACGCUGGCGGCGUGCUUAACACAUGCAAGUCGUACGGUAAGGCCCUUUCGGGGGUACACGAGUGGCGAACGGGUGAGUAACACGUGAGUAACCUGCCCACAACUUUGGGAUAACGCUAGGAAACUGGUGCUAAUACUGGAUAUGUGCUCCUGCUGCAUGGUGGGGGUUGGAAAGCUCCGGCGGUUGUGGAUGGACUCGCGGCCUAUCAGCUUGUUGGUGGGGUAGUGGCCUACCAAGGCGGCGACGGGUAGCCGGCCUGAGAGGGUGACCGGCCACAUUGGGACUGAGAUACGGCCCAGACUCCUACGGGAGGCAGCAGUGGGGAAUAUUGCACAAUGGGCGCAAGCCUGAUGCAGCAACGCCGCGUGCGGGAUGACGGCCUUCGGGUUGUAAACCGCUUUCAGCAGGGACGAAGCUUAUUGUGACGGUACCUGCAGAAGAAGCACCGGCUAACUACGUG